ensembl:lncRNA
UUUGGAGACUUGAGAAACCUUUCAUAAACAUUGUAACUCUAUGCAAAUGUUCCCCAAGUCUGUUCUGAAGGUUGCAUUGUGAGCAAUCUUUAAAAGUCAACUUUAAAGAACCCAGAACUCCAGUCUUUUUUGUGAAGUUUUGUGAUAACUGUCAGGGAACAUUUAGGGAACAGUCACAGGAGUUUCUGCAAGGAGUAGAUCCCUAUAUAACCUGGGAAAGUUUUUUUUCUGGUAAAGCUGUGGAUUGGCCACCAUUUGCUACUAGUUACAAAAACUUAUAUACUAAUGUAACAAAUGCCAUUACUAGCUACUUGGGCCAGAGGCAAUUGCUGACAGUUAUGUAGCAAAAAUACAAGAAAAUGUGAAGAUUAACAUUAUUUCUUAUAAUGUCAGUUGAAUUACAAAAAAACCCUGCUUUGUGACUGACCUAAUGGUAGGCCUAAUAAGCAACAUUUACAAUAGUAUACAUACAAUAGUGGCACACUUCUAAGCUAUGUAUCCAGGAAGCUAAAAAUAAAAGAAUAAAAACAAGUAUGGCUUCUCUAAGUAAAUAUCUAUCAAGUAGAUUGAAAACGAAAAACAAAACAAAACAAAAAAACUUCGGUAAAUGUUAUUUGAAGCUUUCACAAAAAUCGUUGAAGAAUCCCGACUGUUCUUCAGAGGUUAUGCAACCUUCAGCCUGGUUGUUGGGCUGCGGUAUGGAUGUUUAUUGAUGCUGCUGUUUGGCUUUGAUUAAGUUAGCUACUUUGGUACACCCCAGGCCUUCCUGAGGUUUGGCUACAAUAAUCAAAUUACUGUUAGACCUGACAGGCAAUACUGCCUACCUGCCUUGGAGGGAAACAGACACUGCCAGGUAGAUAACAAACAGGCCUACAACAAAAGGAAAAGGGAAACACUUGACUUGCUUGCACAGUAACAAGACGUCGCUGUGCGAGUCAACUCGUUAACAAGCCAGUAUACUACUAAGCUACCUAACUAGUGUCAACCCCCCCCCCCCAAA